rnacentral:rRNA from 1 species
CUACGUGCCAGCAGCCGCGGUAAUACGUAGGGUGCGAGCGUUAAUCGGAAUUACUGGGCGUAAAGCGAGCGCAGACGGUUACUUAAGCAGGAUGUGAAAUCCCCGGGCUCAACCUGGGAACUGCGUUCUGAACUGGGUGACUAGAGUGUGUCAGAGGGAGGUAGAAUUCCACGUGUAGCAGUGAAAUGCGUAGAGAUGUGGAGGAAUACCGAUGGCGAAGGCAGCCUCCUGGGAUAACACUGACGUUCAUGCUCGAAAGCGUGGGUAGCAAACAGGAUUAGAUACCCUGGUAGUCCACGCCCUAAACGAUGUAUACUAGUUGUUGCUAAGCUAGUCUUGGCAGUAAUGCACCUAACGGAUUAAGUAUACCGCCUGGGGAGUACGGUCGCAAGAUUAAAACUCAAAGGAAUAGACGGGGACCCGCACAAGCGGUGGAGCAUGUGGUUUAAUUCGACGCAACGCGAGGAACCUUACCAGAUCUUGACAUCCUG